rnacentral:rRNA from 1 species
UGGGGGAAUAUUGCGGCAAUGGGGGAAACCCUGACGCAGCAACGCCGCGUGAUCGAAGAAGGUCUUCGGAUUGUAAAGAUCUUUUAUCAGGGACGAAGAAAGUGACGGUACCUGAUGAAUAAGCUCCGGCUAACUACGUGCCAGCAGCCGCGGUAAUACGUAGGGAGCGAGCGUUAUCCGGAUUUACUGGGUGUAAAGGGCGAGUAGGCGGGCUGGUAAGUUGGAAGUGAAAUGUCGGGGCUUAACCCCGGAACUGCUUUCAAAACUGCUGGUCUUGAGUGAUGGAGAGGCAGGCGGAAUUCCCCGUGUAGCGGUGAAAUGCGUAGAGAUGGGGAGGAACACCAGUGGCGAAGGCGGCCUGCUGGGGCUUUAACUGACGCUGAGGCACGAAAGCGUGGGUAGCAAACAGGAUUAGAUACCCUGGUAGU